rnacentral:misc_RNA from 1 species
AAUUCUCAACUGUGAUGGGUUUAUUCACAUCAUCAGCUUGGAUCUGAGGGCUUUUGUCGGACUCUAACGAGGUCGACUCCCUUUAAAUUUAUUAGCGGAUUUAGCCAUCGUGGAUACGCCUCGAUUUGAUAAUAUCUAUGUCGUCGCGCUGAAGCGGUAAUCUGCUCCUAACCGUCCUAGGACAAUUUUCAUGACC